GAGUCUUAACCGGGCGUUAAGUUGCAGGGUAUAGACCCGAAACCCGGUGAUCUAGCCAUGGGCAGGUUGAAGGUUGGGUAACACUAACUGGAGGACCGAACCGACUAAUGUUGAAAAAUUAGCGGAUGACUUGUGGCUGGGGGUGAAAGGCCAAUCAAACCGGGAGAUAGCUGGUUCUCCCCGAAAGCUAUUUAGGUAGCGCCUCGUGAAUUCAUCUCCGGGGGUAGAGCACUGUUUCGGCAAGGGGGUCAUCCCGACUUACCAACCCGAUGCAAACUGCGAAUACCGGAGAAUGUUAUCACGGGAGACACACGGCGGGUGCUAACGUCCGUCGUGAAGAGGGAAACAACCCAGACCGCCAGCUAAGGUCCCAAAGUCAUGGUUAAGUGGGAAACGAUGUGGGAAGGCCCAGACAGCCAGGAUGUUGGCUUAGAAGCAGCCAUCAUUUAAAGAAAGCGUAAUAGCUCACUGGUCGAGUCGGCCUGCGCGGAAGAUGUAACGGGGCUAAACCAUGCACCGAAGCUGCGGCAGCGACACUGUGUGUUGUUGGGUAGGGGAGCGU
rnacentral:rRNA from 2 species